rnacentral:rRNA from 1 species
CAUGCAAGUCGAGCGAGAAAGUGACUUCGGUCGCGAGUAAAGCGGCGAACGGGUGAGUACAACGUGGAUAAUCUACCCUAAGGUCCGGGACAACCCCGAGAAAUCGGAGCUAAUACCGGAUAAGACCACAGUAUCCAAGGAUACAGCGGUAAAAGAUUUAUCGCCUUUGGAUGAGUCCACGCCCCAUCAGGUAGUUGGUAAGGUAAAAGCUUACCAAGCCUAAGACGGGUAGCCGGCCUUAGCGGGUGAACGGCCACAUGGGGACCGAGACACGGCCCUGACUCCUACGGGAGGCAGCAGUGGGGAAUAUUGGGCAAUGGGCGAAAGCCUGACCCAGCGAUGCCGCGUGAGGGAUGAAGGCCUUCGGGUCGUAAACCUCUGUCAGGAGGGACGAUGGGACACUUGUGUCUUGACGGUACCUCCAGAGGAAGCCCCGGCUAACUCCGUGCCAGCAGCCGCGGUAAUACGGAGGGGGCAAGCGUUGCUCGGAAUUACUGGGCGUAAAGGGUCCGCAGGCUGUCAGGCAAGUUGGUUGUGAAAGCUCAAGGCUUAACCUUGGAAUUGCACCCAAAACUGCCUGACUAGAGUCCAAGAGAGGUUGGCGGAAUUCCCGGUGUAGCGGUGAAAUGCAUAGAUAUCGGGAGGAACACCAGAGGCGAAGGCGGCCAACUGGCUUGGAACUGACG